UCAGCGUUGCCAAAACAAAUUCUCCGAAAACCAAACAUAAAUACGAUCAAACGCCACCUAGGAAAUUAACAUAUGUCCUUUUCUGCUAAUUGUAAAUUCUCUUCUAGAAUGAAGUACACUUUCCCUUUCUCUCAGAACACAAGCUCAUCUGAGCUACAUUUGAUGAAAACGUACAAGAAUGCACUACUUCCCAAUUUCUCUCUUUCUCUUUAUAAGUGCAAGCUUAUCUGGCCUAAAUUUGAUCAAACCUACAUGAUUUUGUUUUUGCAUAUUUCAUGGAGGUUACUCACGAUUCUAGGUAUUUUGCUCCCAUAUUUUGGAUACUUGUCGAUGUCUCUUUCGAUUUUUCGCAAUUACAGGUGUAAUAGUCAACAUCAAUGGAGCCUCUCCGCUGAUAGAAAAACUUCUCCUAUGAUACCAACACGCGAGCAAGAUUAAUUCUUAACACUGCUGACAGAGGAGGCAGUUGUCAAAGUGUUUGCUUCAACUUAGUCUAGCAUGAAAGCUCAGGACUAAGGUACCUGGAUUAUCAGCUCUGAACCGAAUAGCAGUCCAACCACCCGUUGGAACACCUACAGUAUUUCUUUCUACAGGAUCAACCAAGUUAUAUUUUGCUGGAUCCUUUUUGGGAUCAAAGUUUCCGACGCCAGUUCCAACCACAAAGAAAUUGUAGCCGUGGAGAUGGAAAGGAUGUGAUUCCACUGAUAACAAGUUGGUGUCCUGAAUUACUAUUUCAACUGUGGAAUUGAAAGCAAUUUUACUAAGCCUUGUGCCUAGAUUUGUCCGUAGGUUGGCUGUAAGAGGUGCCCCUGUAAAAUUGAAUGGAGUAGGUGGUUUGUCUGGGAAAUCUGGAGUGUACACACCCUUAAUGUUGAAGUAAUGAGCUUGAAGAAGUGCAGUUUGUGG